AUUGAACGCUGGCGGCAUGCUUUACACAUGCAAGUCGAACGGUAACAGGGUGCUUGCACCGCUGACGAGUGGCGAACGGGUGAGUAAUGCGUCGGAACGUGCCGAGUAGUGGGGGAUAACGCAGCGAAAGUUGUGCUACUACCGCAUACGUACUGAGGUAGAAAGUGGGGGACCUUCGGGCCUCACGCUAUUCGAGCGGCCGACGUCUGAUUAGCUAGUAGGUGAGGUAAAGGCACACCUAGGCGACGAUCAGUAGCGGGUCUGAGAGGAUGAUCCGCCACACUGGGACUGAGACACGGCCCAGACUCCUACGGGAGGCAGCAGUGGGGAAUUUUGGACAAUGGGCGAAAGCCUGAUCCAGCCAUGCCGCGUGUCUGAGGAAGGCCUUCGGGUUGUAAAGGACUUUUGUCAGGGAGGAAAUCCCUAGUGCUAAUAACACUGGGGGAUGACAGUACCUGAAGAAUAAGCACCGGCUAACUACGUGCCAGCCGCCGCAGUAA
rnacentral:rRNA from 1 species